rnacentral:lncRNA from 1 species
AUGGGGACGUGUGUCCCCUUUGUCCCUCAGUGUCCCCCUGUGUCCCUCCAUGUCCCUCCGGGUCCUUCCGUGUCACUCCGUAUCCCACAGUGUUCUUCCAUGUCUCCCUGUGUCCCCCCGUGUCCCCCCGUGUCCCCCCGUGUCCCCCCGUGUCCCUCCGUGUCCCCCGUGUCCCUCCAUGUCCCUCAGUGUCCCUCCGUGUCCCUCCAUGUCCCUCAGUGUCCCCCCGUGUCCCUCCAUGUCCCCCCGUGUCCCCCCGUGUCCCUCCGUGUCCCUCCAUGUCCCCCCGUGUCCCCCCGUGUCCCCCCGUGUCCCCCCGUGUCCCUCAGUGUCCCCCCGUGUCCCUCCGUGUCCCCCCGUGUCCCUCCGUGUCCCCCGUGUCCCCCCGUGUCCCCCCGUGUCCCUCAGUGUCCCCCCGUGUCCCCCCGUGUCCCUCCGUGUCCCCCCGUGUCCCUCAGUGUCCCCCCGUGUCCCCCCGUGUCCCCCCGUGUCCCCCCGUGUCCCCCGGGCCCUGACGCCGUGUCCGUGGCUGGGUCCCAGCCAGGCCGGUGGCAGCGCAGGGGGGAAGGAGGGGGUGGCACGGUGCCACCAUGUCCCCGACGAGCGGGGCUGCUCCGGGCUGCACCUGCAGCCAGCGGGGUUUUCGUGCUGGGACAGCAAUGGGGGCUGAGACAGGAGGGGACAGGGACCGUGGGGCAGGAGGGGACAGCCCCAGUGCCCCGGCAGGGGACAGGCUCCACGCUCCGCAGUGGGGACAAGCCGCUGCUGUCCCCGCGCGGUGGCACUGACGGGCCCGGCGCGCCCCCCGGUGCCCGUCGCCGAUGUCGCAUCCGCCGCCAGCCCCGCUCGGCAUUCCCGGCUCUGCGGCCACCCCGCUGCUCGUCCCUGUGCCGGGGACACCCCAAAGAGAGGCCCGAGGGACCCCCGCGUCCGCCUCCCCAUUGUCCCCCACCGCGGACUGGCGCCUGUGCCCGGGGACAAGGGACCUUGUCUGCCACCACCCUCGAGGCUGCAGCUUUGUGCCCAGCUCGCGACACCCCAAAAGCCUUUCCCUCCUGCCAGGGGGUGUUUGGGAUUGGGGACAGAGCCCAGGAAUGCCGGACCCGCCCCCCCAGCACCCCAGUCCUGGCGAGGGUGCACGUGAGACCCCCCCCAGCAGCGGCACGGAGCCCCCAAGGCCGUCCCGUCGCGGGGUGA